rnacentral:lncRNA from 1 species
UUGGUGUAUCGAAUCUUCAUCCAUGAUUUGGGCAAAUUCAAGAUUAACUUGUAGACUCACAAAAUUGGGACAGUCAUCAGGUACGAUAGUUGGUGCAACUUCAGCAUAAACACGCCUAUGCCUCGAUCAUGCCUAUGUUCUCCAACUUCAAUAGAUUUUUUAAUGGAUACACCUAUGUCACAAUGCGGUUGUUGAUUCUCCCCUCCAAUUUG